rnacentral:SRP_RNA from 1 species
GGCCGGGUCCCGUACAACGCAGACUUGUAAACCCCGUCAGGUCCGGAAGGAAGCAGCGGCAGCAAUGUCCUACGUGUGUUGCGGUAAACCUGGCCACC